rnacentral:lncRNA from 1 species
CUAGGUAUUGUUAUCAAUGGCAAGCAAGAUUUCCUCGACCGUCUGCUUCAAGUAAUUGGCAAGCUAAACGAAGUCAUAUGCUCGUUUUCAAUCUGUAUCAAAGAUGGAACUGAGAUUACUGAGAUGAAAAGCUCAAAACUCCCGACCCCCAGAUCUCUUGCAAAACUUAACAUCAGUGGCAAGAUAAGUGGGUUGUCUACAUGGAUCAGCGAGCUUGAACAGCUUUCCAAGAUAACUCUAUCCCAUACCUUCUUGGAAGACAUUGAUAUACGGAUCCUAGGCAACCUUUUCAACUUGCGUUUCUUAAGGCUUGGGAGCGAGUCCUAUACUGACAAGAACCUAACAUUCAGGAAUGGAUUCAGUAAACUUGAGGUUCUUGUCAUUGAGAGCUCACAUAUUUCUGACAUCCAUUUUGAACAGAAAGCAGCUCCUAAGCUUGAGAAGAUUGUUUGGACGUCUACCUUUAACUGCAAAAUAGAAACUCUCGCAAUUGAGAAGCUUCCAAGCCUGAAAGAGAUUGAACUCAAUGGUGUCU